rnacentral:rRNA from 1 species
GACGAACCGUGCGAACGUUGUUCGGAAUUACUGGGCGUAAAGGGCGCGUAGGUGGCCUUCUUAGUCAGACGUGAAAUCCCCGGGCUUAACUCGGGAACUGCGUCUGAUACUGGAAGGCUUGAGUUCGGGAGAGGAAUGUGGAAUUCCAGGUGUAGCGGUGAAAUGCGUAGAUAUCUGGAGGAACACCGGUGGCGAAGGCGGCAUUCUGGACCGAAACUGACGCUGAGGCGCGAAAGCCAGGGGA